CUCGAUUUUCAAUGAUCAAGGGUUGGGGGUAAAAAUUCCUGGAAACAUUGAUGGAUAUGGUGAAAUUUGGGAGAAAAAACGCGAAAAAGGACUAAAAUGAAGCAAAGUGAAAGUUCAAGGACUAAGUAGCAAAUCAUUCGAAGAUGAGGCGGGCUAUGGAAUGAAGACUCAAGAGUGUUAGAGGUCAACUGGAUGAGGAAAGGAGUCAAAAAAGUGAAAUAUAGCCGAAAUAUUAUCACGUUUCAACUUUCAGGCAAAAAAACUAUGCUUGGGAUUUUUAGUGUCUAAUUGAGACCCAUUUUUGGCAUAGUAAACAUUCGAAUUUGAGAAAGACUAUUUCUAUAAAAACUGUAUAUCUUUGAGUUACCUUCCCAACGCACUUUGAAUCACCUCAAUCGAAGGUCAGAAGAGAAAGUUAUGACUAAAAUAUUGAAAGCUGCCGGAUGGAAAAAUUUAUAUAACCAUGCGGUCGCAUUGUUAUAAUUCCUUGCGGUCACACAAGGCAAUGCAGGGAAAACUAUGUGGUGAAACUUCUAAACCAUGUGGUCGCAUGGUAUAAAAAUGUGACGGAAUCUCAAGUUUCCUAAUUCGACUCAAACACGAUUUGGUAAGGUUUUGGGCCACUUUCUUGACCUAAUUCCAUCCCGAAUAAAUACCAGACGACCUGAAACAUAAGUAGAACGCACUGGGAAGCAUUAUACAGUAUUUUGGAGGAUUUGGAGAGGAAGAACAAUGCGAAAAUAAGGCGAUCCACUUCUAGAUUCAAGAUUCCACAUCCAGAAUCAAUUGGGUGAUGUUCUUCCUUGGUUUUAAUCGUUGUUUUUCUUUAUCUCCUAUUAUGUUAGGUUAGAUUUUUAUGUACUAGAAGAUCUAUGUACCAUGUGAUUUGAUUUUUAAUUUUCUAGUUUUACAAUUUGACAUUAAAAACACGUUUUGAUUGUUUUGAAUGAUUUAUAUGCGAUUAUUAUUUUCCACAAUUAAGGGCCCAUAAUUGUGUGAGUUUGGGUGACUUAUUCUUGCAUUCGAGAGAAUUGGAAUAGGUUCGACAUAAUAUAAAUCAUCGUAGAGUCCGAUAGAGGAUAAAAAUAUACCGCUAUUCCUUACGUGAAUCUUUAAGUGUUCGCAAAACCGUAUGCAUUUUUAUGUAUGCACUUGUUGUAGAAAUAUAGACUAGUGGUAUGUAAAACUAGGUUCAAUACAUCUCGACAGAGAGUAUUGGAUAGAUUUAGGAGCAAUGAUUCGUCAACAAUUUAAUCGUGUUGUAAUACUAUGAAACUAGGGUUUAAAAUGAUAAUUGUAUGAAAAAUCGUGAUCCUAGUGAGCUUGAUUUUCAUUGAAUGCAACAAACAUGCUUUCUCAACCUUUGAUUUCAUUCUACAGUGUUAAAAUUUUGUCUUGCAUAUAAAAUUCAUUUCAAUCAUAAAAAUUGCAUAAAUUAGGGUUUUCUUUCCAAUUUUAGUGUUUUAAUUAGGUCCACAUUCAUUUUAGUAAUUUAGUUCGGUUAAGACUACAAUAGAUAAAAUUGAACUAAUCAAUCUCUGUGGGACGAUAUUCGGACUCAAUUGAUCCAACACUUACGGUAGUUUAAAUCGAAAGAAAUAUUUCGUGAACAACUAGUAAAUUCAUAUGUGAGAUAAACUUGAUAAUGGUUGGUUGGUUGGGAUAUUUUGGUGUAGGCAGGGGUUAACAAGGUAGCACAGCUAAUUGGUGCGACUUUGGCUCCAAAGGGAAGGAAUGUCGUAUUGCAAAACAAGAAUGGACCUCCCAAGAUUGUCAAUGAUGGUGAAAUUGUUCUUAAAGAGGGCUUAUCCUGGCAAGAAGUAUCAGAGAAAAGUUCUAAAGAGAAUCUCCAAGGCUGAGAGAGAGAAAUCAAAGUGCGAACAUCUGAAUGAAAUCUUUCUUUCUUUAUCUAAUGAUUUAGAUUCAAUGGUAAGGCCUCUGUAUUGGAUGGAGCGAUUUGUAUGGUGAAGAACACGCUAGAUGAGAUCAACUGUCUGAAAAGAAAAUGCUGCUUGCUGUCUGAAUCUCAAUAUCAUGGAGAAAACGUAACUACAAGAUGAGAAUUCGGCUCUAGAGGCUCAAAUUGGGAAACUGCAAUGUGAACUCAAGGAGAGGGUCUGGUCCGCAACUCGACCUGAAUGUGAACUUCAAGAACUGGAAUCGCAUAUUGGUGAUGAUCAUCAUCAUAGAUUGCCUUGUGUAGAACCAGUUGUUAAUUCUUUUGUAUCUUGUCCCUAUCCGCUAAAAUACUCGAGCUUAUCAAGAGCCUGCUACGGCAGAACUUGCAGGUAUGCCUAACCACAUCCUAGAUAUCCUACUGCAGCAGACGUAUGGCCAUCCGAUUUCUUGAGGAACCCUGCUAUGGUGACAGGUCGGUGCCUGAUCCCUCACAAGGGGGUCGGGCCCCACAAUUUUUGGGAAUAUUUUUUUCGCACCGGGCCCAUGCUAUAGUGAGGGGUCGGGCACCAUUCGGUCACCAACCCCCCUGGCCAUCCGGAAUUACCCUUUCUUGAAAAUCAACUGAAGUUAGGCGUGGAAUUUGGAUAAAAGUGGAUGUAGAGGACAGCAGGAGGAAGGCUUUUGACAAUGGAAACUAUAUCAAUUUUUGUUUUUUUUUUUUUUGGAAAAUGUAUUGGAUUUUUAGGCAUUUUAGAAUUUUGGAUUUGGAUUUUGUAAGGAUAUUGUUACAUUUUAGAGUUCAAUUAAUAAUGAUUAUUGGAGUUAUUUGA